ensembl:lncRNA
CUCCGCAGGCAAAAAGGAGGGUAAGAAUGAGGGCAGCGAGGCGGCAAGAGCUGGCAAAGCAAAUGUUGGCAGUGCAGGGCCAGCGGGCUGUGAACACUGGUCGCCUUCCAGGGGAAUUAUCAAGUGGUGCUGCAUGCCAUGGAAGUGUGCAGCAAUGGGCAGAAGGACCGUGCUGUUCUUGACUCCAGAAGUUUGACUCCACUUGUGGUACAAGAAAACGUUCCUGGAGUUGAGUUUGGGGCAUUAAAACAGGCGUGGGGGGGAAGAGUUACUUUCUUUGUCCACCUCCCUUUUGCAGCCACUUCCCUGUGCAAUCUUGGGAAAAUCUUGUCUGCCUCGGUUUCGCCCUCUAUAAAAUGGGAAUAAGUCAUGACAGACCCCUCCUUUUAGAUGCCUGGAUCAAAGGUACUAUAUAAGUACAAAGUGCUCCUUCUAUAGGGUAUUAUUGCCAAAUUCGCUAUAAGCAAUUCCAUUGGGUACUUGAUAACAACAGUAGAAUCAGUCAAACGCCCUUGAUGCAUUCAUCGCAUGGUCCCAGAUACCUUUCAGAGCCUCUUUGUGUGCCAUCCUACCCCCUGAGGUCCACGAGGAUGGGGCUUUUGGAGCCUGGAUUCUGCAGGAGCAGGAGGGGUAUGGUAAGCAUCUUCUGGCCCCUGAACCGUGGACCGCUUUUCUUUUUGACCUGGUGAGGACUACUGGAACUAGCCCUUUCACAAACAGGUUUUGAACAUGCAACUUUAUAUAUAUUUAUAUAUAUGAAAUUGUAACACCUAUAGUACAUAGUGCUAGACUCUUGUUGAAUUUUCACUGUUUUAGUCUUGCGUGGUUCAUUGUCAUUUUAAUCUGCAUUUGUUUCACUGCGCAGUGCUUAGGCUGCUUUCAGAUCUAGGCACAUUGCUGAUAGAAAUUUGGUUCAUUUCAGCUUUGAAAUUUGUAGUUGUUAGGGAGCUAACCAUUUUCUAAAAUUAAACUUAAGAAAAAAAAAAAAAAAACACCCACAAACCUACACCAGGGAAACUAAUAUCUUAAUUGCUGGAACUGUUGCCAUUAUAAUUAACUCUAUCAUGUAAUUCCAUUCUUUCUUCAGUUUUAAAAUUCUCUAAAAGACAUUUUCUACUUAUGAUUUUUCAAAAAUAGUGUUUUAUGGUCCAGUAUUAAAAAUAGAAGAGUGGAUGUUAUAUCGGAUAUCAUAGCGUGGAGCUUCCAUGAGUAAAUUCACAAACAUCCCAGUGAUUCUUCCUCCUCUGCUCUUCUCCCCCCACUCCAAGAAGCACUGAGGGUGAAUAUGCAGCUUCAGAAGUUUCCUUAGAGCUCUUUUAUACUUUAAUAGGUUUGUUUUGGUGACUAUAUGCCAGACAAGUAUGCUGCAGACAUAUUUUUUUUCAAAAGGUCAAGCAGUCUUCUAACAUGUCCAUUGUGUAUCCUGCAGUAAGAAAUCCUCAGUGCAAAGGAGAGCUUCAUGGUUAAAUUUUAAAAGAUAAUGAUUUAAAUCUUUUUGUUAUAGCCUUUCUUCUUUCUUUCUUUCUUUUUUUUUAACAUCCUUAGCACUGCUUUUGGAGCGUCAACUUCUAACACUGUAGAAAGCAGGAAGCCCAUUAAAAAUAACAAACAGCUAAAGGUAAACUUAGUUGGUCACCUUUCCCUCUGAAAUCCUGGUGUUUGGCUGUGUUUGUAAGAAACGUGAUAACAAAUGAGUGGCCAUAGCCUAAUGUAAGGACAAAGCAAAAUUACCAAUUAUGGAGAAACAUCCAGGGCUCUGGGCCUGAAUCUUUGAUUUCCUGUUUGGAUCUUAAAAACACAUGCAUUACUGGCUUCUGACUGCUCAUCUAUGAACGUGCUGUAGAAUCAACUACAGAUAUUUUUUCAGACACUGAUAAAAUGUAUACAUUCACUUGUCAGCAAAAAAAUAAUAAUUACAUCAUUCUGAUCUUCUCUCUAAAAAAAAAAAAAAAAAAGAGGAAAAAAAUAAACAAAAGAAACCUUCUUCCAGCAAAGUAAAGUUGCAGUAUAUUAAAAAAGCAGUGCGUUUUCUCUUUCAUACAGGCAUGAAGUGGAAAAGAGCAGAGAUGUCUGCAAUAUUUAAGCACUCUUUGAGCUACAAGACUAAUCAAUGUAGCUCCUGCCACAUACUUGAGAACUGCAGUUUAUUAAUACAUGUGUUUUUGCUCUGUUAAACAAAUAGUCAUGCCACUCAAGUUCAGUUGUAAUGAAAAAAAAAGAAGAAAGAAAGAAUGUUCUUUAUGGAUAAAGGGAGAGGGAUAGCCAAAUUCAAAAUACUGGUGAGAUUUCCCUCAUCUCAAAAAUUAUGGAAAAAUAAAAAAAAGAAAUCUGCCUCUGUGUAGCUCUGGGUCAUUUGGAAGGAAAGAGGGAUGCUAAAAAUAUUAGUAAAUUAGUAUAGGAGAUGCUGAUGAAAACAUCUGGUCAACUGGUUGUAUUGACAUAAAUCGGAGUACUCUAUGAAUGUUUCAAGCGUGGAAAUAGAAUUAUCAUUGGUCACCAAUUAUAUAUAUAUAUAUAUAUAUAUAUAUAUAAAGGUAUUUCUUUCCUUCAGUGUUCCCGUUUUGGAUUUAUGCAGUAUACCUGAGUGUUCCCCUCUUUAAUUCAGUGCACGUGAAUUGUCUACAACAGCUUAACUUUAUAUAUCAGGUAUACUUCAGAAACUGAAAAAAUCUCCAGCUGAUUUAGCAGCUGAGGCAUUACUCAUCAGAAUAUCUGAUUACUGGCAUAUUAAGCAGCAGACACAGUGGAACAGAAUAAACAUGAAGCACUGCAUCUACCAACACAUAUAUUUUAAUUACUACUAACCAAACAAAUAAAUACCAGACCGGCUUCAUAUUCAAAAUUUAGUGCGUGAUCAAGGGAAACAGAAAUCUACAAUAUUGGUCCUUGUAAAAAUGUUGUCAUUAACAAGAAUUUCUCAGCUCCCAAGUUUUCAUUUCAAAUCUCUCGGUGUGCCUGUUGUAAUCAUUCCGGGUCUCCUAUUCCUAAUUUAAAACAAUGGCAGUGGUGCUCAGCCGCCCCUGCAGGAAGGCUGGCCGCAAACGGGAGACAAUGGCAGCGGCAGAGGUGUGACACCUGCCGCCUUCUCUCCUCAUCAAACUUUGUCCACAAGAAACCACUGAUUCUCAGACUCGUAACCCUUUAAUUGUCAAUGCUCUAACUGGAGAGCUGUAUAGAGCUGUAGAAAGCUGUUUCUUAAAAGAUAGCUGCUAAAUGUUGCCUUUUUCUUUCGAUAGCUUUAGGCCACGUUUCCUAAUUCUGAGUAAUUCACUCUAAUACGUAGUCAUAAACCAUAAGAUAAUAAAUUAUUAAGGCCUGAUUUUUUUUUAAUUUUUUUAUUUUUUCUGUUCAGACCAAUCUUUCUUAAUUACUGCGUGGUCUGAAAAUACGAGAAUAUCGGGGCUGGAGAUUCAUUUGAACAGAUCUCCAAACAGGCUGUGCAUGGGUUAGGGCUUUGCGUUUUCCUUAUGCGUCAGAAAAUUUCCUCUUCCCUUUCGGUCUGUAAGCACCGAGCAGCUGUAAGCACCUCUCGCUACCUGGGCGCUUGGCUAUCCUAAUGCAGCCUGGUAGCCCUAAGAACCCACCGGUCAAAAUCAAUGACUUGCAGACAAGAUUUUCCUUCCAGUCUGCAGAAUGGAAGUUGUAGCAUUUCUGCACUCCUGGCAAGGGAGCUCCGUCUGUCUCCGAUCAUGGUUCUCGAUCUCUUGCCCACGUGCAGUACGGGUAACGCCAUUCUCCAGGCGUAUGUACGGACACCAUGGAAGAAAGGGUUUGAGCGAUGGAGACAACGGCUGGAAACUCCACCGACACAACGCGACUACAUGCUUGUGGAGCCAGUUCCGAGUUGCCUCACCGGCAGACGCCCGUAGCAUCUUGCAGCAUUCUCCAGACUGCGAAGACAAGAAGUCAGGUGAAGCCCAGUGAGCUGUUCUCAUGUGCACGCUAACGUGGAUGAACUAGCAAGGUGCUUUCUCUCCUUCUCCUCUUUUCAGACCUAAUUGUCAGAAAUGUGGAGAAAAGGAGAAAAUUAAGGGCUCAACUGUGCUAAUUUUUCUGGUUUUUCAUUACCAGAAUACACACUGCUCAUUUUUCUUCUAUUUUUUUCCAUGUUUUAAAUAUUUUUUUUCAAAUGUAAUCAGAGAACACAUGUGUUUUAAAAGAUUGAUCAUUCUCACAGAGUAACCUUGAAAUGUUCUUUCUGUGAUCUUAAAGAAAAGAAAGAAAGAAAGAAAAAGAAAAAGGUACGGUACGUAGCCCAAGAGAACUAAUUGAAUUCCUUGCCCAGGACACAUUUGCUAUGUAUCCGAGUGGCUUUGCAGUGAUGGGAGCCCCAGGAGAAGCUUCCAUGCUCCAGCAAGGCAAGGUACAGAUGGUGCACUCAGCCCAGUGCUGCCAGUGUCCUUUUUGACUGUGCCGAGCUCGCAUGAGCCGUCCCGGGAAGGUCAGUGGGAUUACUCACCUGCAAGUGCAUAGUUGCUCAACUUAGCCCUAUGCUAGAAUUUGCAUGUCUCAAAUCCCUUUUGCCUGAAGAAGAAAACAUAUAAUCCACUAAAGAAAGAUGGUUAUGCAGCACUAGUGAAAAUUGUUUUGUUUUUGUUGCUACUUCUGUAUCACGCUCUUGUUUUGUUUCUGUGGCUUCACUCACAUCUGCUCCCAAGAUCUGAUUUUUACGCUGUUAGUUGAGCUAAGCUUCCAUCCAUGUCCACAGCUAUUUUCUCAGAGUAACAACUGGGACAUGAAUUCCUAAAUUUGAGGCAUUCAUCUCCAUAAUGCUUAUGGUAAUGUGUCUCCUAGUCAUCAUCCAAAUGAGUAAAUAGUAUAGCAUUUCUGCAUAUGAAGCACGGGGUGGGAAAAUGUGCUUUCGCAAACUCCUGUGCCUGUAUUUGCACAGCCCAGUAUUACCUUUCUCCUGAAGUAAGGCUGAUGCCACGAACGAGUAGUUCUGUAUGCUAAGCUCCCCCCCUAAAGAGAUGUGGUGUGCCAUUAUUUCACUGUCGUGCCAUUUCCCUUCUCAAAGGGUCACCAUAUUUUGCUGACAGGUGACUUCGGUAGGGGAAUUUGACCCAAACCCAAUGGCACAACCUGGCUAAAGGAAUAAAAGGUGAAUGCCAUUACUCAGAAGUAGCCCUAGAGGAGAACUGUUUUGGUCAAUGUCUCGAUUUGUUCAUCCAACUGGAUCCUGCUUCUGGAGUACCUCAGCACCCACCGUACUCAGGUUAUUGGGACCAUAUCAUACGGAACAGGAAGUUAUAAAUCAAAGCUGGGGAGCUGCGGCAGGACUGAGGGGAAGGUUUGGGUGUAUUUAGGUAGCCAGUGGAACGCUCCGUACAGUCUGUCUACCAAGAACUAUGGCUUGCUUGGUAUUCUGGAGGGAAACAGAGAGGAACAACAGCUGACCAAAGCCUUGAUAAGAGGGCCAGGAGGAUGGGCAGCACCGCCUGCUUCUGCCCUAGCCCAGUAUAGGCAAAAAGCAGCUUGAGAACAGGGACUUUACACAGGAAGACAUUACAUGGAGGGAAUUAUGUACAGCUUCAUUAUGAAAAACAUGCAAAUCAUUUUAGACAUAUUAUACCUCCUGAUUAAUGUAAUAGGGGAAAAAUGGAAACAAGGUAUUCACUUUUCCAUUAUAAAACAUUCUGACAAAAAAGAAAAAAAGAAAACGAAGAGAAAAUUUCAGCCAUCUCAGGAGAAAAGCAGGUAGUUAAGUGUACACCAGCAUGUGCAAUGCAGGCGAUGCAACUGGCUACUUUUUAUUGCUGUAUGACUAAGCAAAGACUUUUUUUUUUUAAUUUGGGCUACUGUGACUCAAGGUUAAGUUUUAAUGUGAAUAUUAAAUGUGGGCCUCGUCCUGCCAGGUUCUGAGCACCUGGCUGAGAAGGCGUUUGCUGAGAGUUAAAGAUGCCCAGUGGAGCUCCCCGCAUCAAAAUAGAUAAUCAAAAAACAACAAACAGCCACAACAACCAAACAGAGCAAAACGAAAGGCAACAAAAUAAACAACCAGAAAAUCUCCAGACAGACAAACAAACAAAAAGCAAAGGCCGAGCCUGUUCGCACGUUAUUAUGCAUAGUAAUAUCUGCCCUGCUGCAUGACUGUAAGCGACACUUCUUAUUGAAUUUCCCUCAUCACAGUUUCUGCAUACUGUGCUUACGCAGGCUGUGUUUCUCUAAGUGCAUUCUUUAGCCCUGGAAACAUAACAUUAACGCAUGAGUCUGAAGCACUCGCCUGGGCUGUGCUUAUCCACAGACUCACCUGUUCAUUUGUGUGGGUUUUACAAUAAUGUUUUGCUAUUGUUUUGUGUCAAUAUUUGCUGCUGUGCUGGCUCUGCCUUUUUCCUUCCACCCACCUUUCUCCUCACGCGUGCUGACAGAUAAGUGUGGUUUGACUGAAACCAUUCCAAGGGCUAGAUAUUGCUGUCUACAGCAACAUCACUCGGUGCAGUUUGUCAGGCAGCAGUUGUGGGACUGGUGGGAAGGCAGCAUGCACACACUGGUACAUGUCACCCCACUGUCCCUGCAACUGCCCAGCAAAGCACUGUGCCACGUCUCAUUGUAUGGGAGUUGCAUGGCUAGAGGCUUGGGGUUGGGAUGUGGAUUCACAGUUUCCAAGCUCUUCUGCCUUUCUGCAGGGUUAGGCAAGACAAACUCUCCUUGUACCUCAAGCGUACAGGGAUGGCUUGCAAAGUUUCUUUAGGCAAAGGGCAGAAUUCUUGGCACCCAGGCCUCUAGAAACACAAGUGGGCAUAGGCCAGUGCCAACUUUGCCCUCUAGAAACACAAGUGGGGAAAGGUCACUGCCAACUUUGCCAGCAGAUGUAUUUAUCCCUGCGUGUGUGAAGUGCUAUGGGGCAGGGAUGAAGCCACUAUUGUAUGUUGGGAAGCACCAGGGGUAGAUUGCAGCGAGCUCCUUCUCAGAAGUCAUUUCUUUUAUCCUCCCAGUAUCAAUGUGUUUGCCAUCACCAUUCUCAACCGCCAGGCUCCUGCUCCCAUUUAGAGGCUGUGCAACAUUUCAAAUUACUAUUUUUUUGAAGGUGGUCUGUGUGGCUUCACACACCAAGGACAUGGCGAGGCCCAGCAUGGCACGCAGUAGGAAAGCCUCGCACACAGCCACACUUGAUCUGCAAGGAGGUGGAAGGAGCUGGUCAGGAGGUCUGUCGGGGGAGGCAUCUGCAGAGUGAAUGGGGAAAAAAAAAGCAGCAGGAGCAGGGGGGGAUGUCAGCUGCCAGCACCAUCUCCUUUGAAGAUCCCCACAACCGGAGGGAGGAUCAGGUUGCCAGCAGACUCUCCCUUCCUAAAACAUCCUGCCCCUAAAUAAGGAGAGUGGAGCACAGAUUGCCAGGGGCCUGUUUGAUUCGCCCCCUCACCCUGCGAGUCUGCUGUUUGGCCACCACCACCACAGAGAGCCCUGCCACAGGGCCAUCAUCCCCAGCACGGCUCUGUUGCAACAGGACUGAGGGGCGCAUGCCCUGUCCAGCUUCCCAACCCCUUGCGUUUGCCAGCUGCAUUUGGGCUGCAAGCCAUUUUUUGUGGCACCUGUUAUUUUUAUUUGCUUUCAGACUCCUUUGUUUCUAACACACUGUCACCUCUGGGUAACUAAUAGUUUUCACCUGUGUUUGUUCCUUUGUAGCUGCGUUAUGCUGUAGAAAUCGCAGGGUCUUCUCUAUGCAGGUGAAAAUGGGUGAGAAGGAGUACAACUGUUGGAUUUGUGGCAGGAAUUUUCAAACGAAUGAAAGCGUAAGGAUGAAAACAGAAGAAAAGUGUUCAGCACGGACACAGUUAAAUAAACAUGCUCUUAACACACACGCACAGGACUGCUGCGGGGGUCAAUGAGAGUAUAUAAUGCAGAGACUGAGAAGCGAAUGCAACCCUGUCUUCCUGGUUUUCCUGGAGAUAAUGGGAUAUGACUUUUAAAUGGAAGAUAUAGCUUUCAAAAUGGUUCAACAUAAUAUAAGAGAUAAAACAACUGAGGAACCAAAAAAGCAAAUAGUGUCUCUGACUUAAAAGGAAAACAACUAUCAGUGUCCCCAGUGAUUCUCUAAUUUGGAGAUAUCUGAACAAGACAGGUCUUAAAAGAAAAAACGGCUCUACACCGAACACCAUCACUUCAGAGCGGUGAAUUUCAGCUGGUGCAGAGCAAGAAGGGUGCAGAUAAAUGCUACCCGAUGUAAAGCUUCACAGCCCAGUGUUAACCCAUAAGCAUUUCUUCAGCUAAUAUGAAGAGGAUGGAUGAACUGAGGCUGAAGCACUCUGCUUCACGUGGCUGUGGCCACUAUGGUCCCACAUUAUCUACCCCAAUGGGAGGAACUGGCUGACAUUGGGGAAGUUCUGAUUGCAAAAGAAGGCUGACGUAUGCCCAGCCCUGAAUGGUGCUCUGGCCACGUUGGCUGCUGCCUGGUUCCCACAGUGCAAACUGAACAAUGCCCCAAGCUGCUGUGCCUUGGAAAAGGUCCUGAGGACCCAACCCAGGCUGGUGACAAAUAUUCAUCAGUCCCCAGAGUCAUUACCGGUCCUGCUUCAUCUCCAAAACUAAAAUGUGGGCCUCUUUGUUUUUAAGGUUUUUUUUGGGUGGAGGAAGGAGAUUAUUUUCUAAAGAUCUCUGAAAAGCCCUCAGCACGUGCCAGAAAUAGGUAUGAUCUCUGCGUCUCAUUGCCAGCUCUCCUGAUUUCACCGACAGCAUUCAGUGCUGUUUGUUUAGUGUUCCCCUCUCCCAGCCUUUUUAUAAAGGAAAGAUGGCUAGAUCUUUUGGUGGUGGAAAUACCUGGAAGCCAUCACUUUAACACAACCCAAAGGCUCAGAUUACAGCAAACAAACAGAAGAAAGACAAGUGUAUUUAUUCAGGCUUUUUAAUCUUAGGAAUUUAAAGCAAAUUUGCUGACCAUUGGAAACCUCAGCCCUGAUCUGCGAAGGCUCAGGGCUGCCAAUACUAUUAGCAUACAUGCUGAAGAGUUUCAGCUGAUAAAGUUGAGUGGUGUGCUAUCUGGUCUGCUCUCUCAAGGGAAAGUCAGGCUGGGGAGAUGAGGUUUGACUUCAUUUACUCCAUGUGACCUUAGACUGCUGCUUAAAACAGUCUGCUCUUUGUUUCUCCAACUGUCAAAUGAAGAUAAUGAUUCUUACCCAUUCUUAGGACUGUGCUUUGAAAUUUAUAAAUGAAAAUAUUAUUUAUAUUCAAGAGGCUCCCAGACAGGGAAAAUGAAUGAUUUCCAUAAAUGCAAUAUAUUUCUUCCAGUCUGGAUCGUCAUACCUAGUUUCUGGCACUCACACAAACUAAGGAUGGGUGUGAGAGGCAAAUACUUCUAAACAUUUUAUAUACAUAUAUUUAUAUUUUAUAGUCUCUCUCUACAGCAGUUAUCUGUGUGUAAUUUUCUGCAUAUACAUAUAUAUGUGUUUGUGUGCAUGCAUGUGUAAUAAAGACAUGGAAAACCACUUGAGGUGAAUGUGAACCUUUCCUGUCUCACAUUUAAGGGGCUGACUGCCUUUGCAACACUCUCAAAGAACAAAGCUAGUAAAUAUCUCUUGUCACUUUAAAAGGUGAAAAACUCUACUGGUCUGUUGCCUAGCGAAAUUUAUACAUUAAAACAUUACCAGUUAAAGUUGUGAUGUAAUGUUUGUUGCAGGAUGAUUUCAUGCCAAAGCAUUUACCUUAGUGCAAUAUUAAACUGCAUGAUUUUGGUUUCUAUCCAAAAAGUAAUGGAGUUUCCCAGGGAGAAGGGGGUAUCAGAUGCCCAGGGAGCUCCAGGGACAAGCCCUCUCUCAAGAAUAACCCAUUGCACCAGACAGUGUGACACUGGACUCUCUAUGAAAGAGUCUGAUAUCCAAGAUGACCAGAGAUCACUCUGUGGGGACCACCACAAGAGCAACAGGAGAAACAGAUGGAAGGACACAAGCUCAAACCUCAGAUGUUGCUAAAUGCAUUGGGUGUGAAGAUGGACUAGCUCACAUCCCAUACCUGUGGUUUAUAACCCUGUUGUCAUGUGUUGAGAGCUAGCUGCUUGAAAUCAGUAGGGAUUUAAUGACCAAUGAAGGUAAAACAAAAUAUUCUGCCAGAACGUAGAAAGUAUGCUCUAAGUUUGCUUUGCACUGGAGAAAAGGUGGUGGUGUCCUGGGCUGUGCAAUGAGCAUCCUGCGGUGGGGUCCAGUCUUUCAACUGUCUAUGGGGGGGUCAAAGCAGGAGCCAUAACUGGCCAGUGCCUACCAUCACUAUUGAAUAUCUGCAGUAUCAAAGAGUGGCAGAUCCAUCAGUCAGAGGAUCCAAACAUUUUUGCCUGGCUGAAGUGAUGACGAUCCAUCUCCUGAUGCAAGCCUGGAUAAGGAGGAAGGAGAAGAUGUGAUUUGAAGAGGGGAAGACAGAGAAACUCUCUGAAAGCAACAGACCAAGGGAGACUUAGUACGUUUAAACCCAGCAGAAGGCUGAUCCAAAAAGUAUUUUGAGCAGAUUCCCCAACAUUACCAUUAGAGAUUGUGGCUCAGGAUCUCUUGUUUGUGCUGCAUAAUGUUUCAGUGCUCCAGCCAGGCAGAGGUGGGACUGUAAGAUAUUUAGCACUGGCAUCAUGAUGAGACCCUGAGGUGUGCUUCAGGAAAUGUCUGGGCUUUGGCCAAAUAAUACAUGAGACAGUUGUGUAUAUUUGCUACCAGGUUGACUUGUAAUUCCCUGUAUCUCAUUAAAAUUUCUAACUCACUGUAUGUAGAAAUAAGAGAAAUGCACUGAGCCGUCUACUCCAUCUUUUGUCCUGUGUAGGCUUGCUCUCUUGAGUACUACUGCUUAUGUUUUGCAAAUGUAGCCCUAUGUGUAUGAAGAAAUGCAUCCCUUCAUUUAUGAGAGCAAUCGAUACCCUAACAGGCCUGUCAAUAAGUUUUCAUUUUCUUUCACAUUUCUGCCUUUAAAAAUAUCAUCGUACUGCUUGUUAUGCCCACUGGUGUUAAUAACACUUUCAACAUACGUAGAUGCCUAUUGGAACUUCUUCCUGUUCAUUACUUAGCCAAUAUAUAUGUCUUUAGGGCCAGACUUUUACAGAGUUGCCCAUAACAUUUUGCUUUGUAAGUAGGCCUGUUAAGAUAUAGGGGAAAAGGAUGGCAUAUGAACUAAGCUACUCUACAGGAAUAAAACGUGCCCCAAUCCACCCCUAAACUAUUUUAAUCUUUCCUUAAAAGUCAGCCCAGACAACUCCUCAGACACCAUUGUUGCUCUCCACUGAACCUGCCCUUUUAUAUGCUAAUCAGGUACCCAGGAGUGAAUUUAGUAUUCCUAGAGUGGUCACACCAAAGCCACAUGGAGUGGAACCUUUUCUUCACUUUUCCAGGAGGUGAUGUCUUUGAAUGUGCAGCCAAAAAUUUCCCUUUCUCUCUUUUUGCUCAGUCACAUUUAAUUCACUCUCUACUAUCACCCUCAGGCUUCUUUCAGCAUUACUUUCCUCAUUUUCCCUUCUAAAGAAUAACUGAGUUUUGGAUUAUUUUCCCUAGAUGUCUGGGCUAGAAUGUCUUCAAGUUGAGACUCUCUCUGUUAUUUCCUCCCCAUAGGUUAUAUCAUGUCAUCAGCUAUUAAGCACAGUUCUAAAUGUGGAUCAUAAGUUAUGGAUUUCGUUUUCAUUGAUUUUCAAGGAGGAGGAAGGAAUUGACGAUUACUGUCUGAAUUUAAAUUCCACCUCUCUCCUAUCAGCAGCAGAAAUAACGGGAAUUUUAUUUCUUACAGUUUACUGUACAAUGUGUUCUUUCUGAUCACAUAUUUUCACAAAUAUUUGCAGUUCAGAAAUUGAAAAUAUUCUCCCUAAUAGUCCAGAAAAGACAUUUUUUAAACCUUUAUUCAUAGCCAAAUAAGAGGUUGAAAAUGGCAUAUUUAGGGCAUACAGUAAUUAAGUCUCAAGGAAAACAAGUAUGGGAGUACUUUUUAGGACGGCUGUAGGAUUGACUGGAGAGAAAACUGUAGUCCGGUAAUUGCAAUUUAUUAUCAAUUCAGGAGACUAUAUUUGGCUACGGUGUCUGUAAUGCAUUUUAAAAUGAAUUUACUGCUGAUGUAAACUGAAAAAUGCAUCCAAUUGAAUUAUACAUUUUCUGAUAGGUGAAGCAAUUUUGUACAAUUCUUGCGAAAGAUGAAAUACGACACACCGAUGUUGUUGGUUACAAAAGUACUGCAGUGUAAGAAAGUGACUGCCGUGCAGGGAAGAGUUCUCCACUCAUUUAUAUCUACAGGGAAAAUUAAUUAAAGUUGCCCCUGUGAAGCUGAACGCAGUUUGCUGCUCUGCCUGGAUAUAUUUUUAAACACAAAUAAUCCGUGUUUCAGCUCCAUUUUAGAAGGCAGAGAAGUUCCUGGCAUCAAAGUUUCUUCUUCAGAUUGAUUCGCUGGAUUGGAUUGCCUUUCCUCAUGUAAUCAGACUGAUACACGUCCCGAGUUCCUACGCAAAGGCAUUAUAUGAAGAUGGAAAGAUGUAAAUUCACUUGAAGGAGACGACCAAAUUAACAGUGCAUCAGCAAGCAAACCACACCGUGACUGCUUACAAUCUCCCUGCACACAUCGCCCGUUAAGGAACAUUCAGCAGCAUUAAUAAUCAAAUGUUAACUGAAAAAGCUAGACAAGCUAUUGGAUAUUUGGCAUGGCCAAUUGAUGUUCGUUCUGCUCAAGCGUUUGUGAAAUAAACAUUUAUCCUCUGGUG